CCGAGUUUACAACUCCCAAACCCCUGUGAACAUACCUUUAUGUUGCCUCGGCGGAUCAGCCCGCGCCCCGUAAAACGGGACGGCCCGCCGCAGGAACCACAAAACUCUGAUUUUAGUGUAACUUCUGAGUCUAAAAAACAAAUAAAUCA
rnacentral:misc_RNA from 1 species